AUAAUACUGUGUGGGAACCUUCUGGUGCUGGGGGUCAAAAUGAGCAUGUCAUUCUUAUACCUUUCUUUGUCUGUGGCCAGAAUGUUGAGGUGGAAAAACAGUCUCACUUUGCCAUCAUCAACAUGAAGACUGCAACGGCGGGAGUGCUGCUGGUCCUGUCUCAGGUGGACAGAGUGCUGGAUGAAGUGGACUGGCUGAUUGUCCGAAAGAAAAGUCCUGUGACAAAUCUGCUGCUGGCGAGGCCACCCAGACCGCAGGCCAGCAGGACCCAACAGAGAAAGCCGUGACGCUGCAGAUCGGGACCCUUUUGACUGCUUUAAAUGAGCUGGUCCAGACGGCCCUGCUGCCCGGGACCUGCACCAUCACCCCGCUGCGGGUUUAUUUUUAAAAAACUGUUUUCUUUAUUAGAACAGAGAAUUUGGUGGUAGAGGAGAAGAUGACAAGAAGAAAAAGAAAAGAAAUGAAGUGAACGCUGCUCCCUCUGUAAGGAUUUCCCUCCUAUAAUGUGAUUAACGAUAUACUGUAACAUGUGGACCUCAAACAAAUCUACAUUUUUAAGUAUUAAAGCAGUAUGAAAAAUACCUCAUCACACUCUCAAAGAAAUCAAAGAUUUGUGUGAACUACGUUGCCUGUGGUGCUUAACCGAAUGCUAUGAAGAGAGUCGUACAACACACCACGGAACAAAACGCUUGACGAGUGCAGGCCUGUCCAGGUAAACCUGAUGCAGUACAUGAAGCUGAGCACCUCAAGGGAUUUCCGCAUCAACUCUGCCACUCUGGACGCAGCGCUACAAGAGCAGGACACCAGUCAGGAGGUAAGUGUGGGCUUCUUUUACUUGAUCACGCGAGUCACUGAAGCGGACUUGUCCUCAGUCUCUCCCCACGUGGGAGGUUUUGAAUGCCUCUGUUGUGCCUUUUUUAACACACUCCGCUGGCUCAGAUCAAUUCGUCAAGUCUCUUCUUUGGAUCCUUUUCAGGCCAACGUGUCACAGGGGGCCGAGGAGACACAAGAACCCCGUCAGAAGAAGAGAAAGCAGUGAGCCGAGGCUCAACUCGGUUUGGAUCGCACACCUGCGGCUUCCUCCCGGAUCUUGUCCCGGCAGUUGGGUCCUAUCUCCCUUUGUUUAGAGAGCCUUUGGUAGCGUUGAGGAUUUGGUAAAUGUCCAAUGCCUCACCUGUGGAAAGUUUGCACAAAGUUUGUUGAACUUGGUUUUCUUACAGUUCAAUUUAUUAAGUGUUUUUUUUUUCUUUUUAAUGUCACAUCUUGCAUGGAAUGUUACCACCACUGACCGGUAUCAGAUAUGUUUGAUUAAUUCCCUUAAAUGAUAAGCUACAUUGUAUGUCAUUUCACUCUUUUCUGCCAUGUCACUUACAGCUCUGUAAGGUAACAAAUUGAUUAAUUUACAGAAAUAUUUAUAUUUUAUUCGUAACAUACCCUGCUGUUUUUAAAGCACAUUCUUCAUAUCAUAUAUUUGGAAAAAUACAUAUUACAACCCGUUAAAAGACA